rnacentral:lncRNA from 1 species
UGAAAGAAAAUAAAUUAUAAAUUAAGUACGAAAAUAAAAUAAUAGUGUUAGAGUUUACAUUCCUUACACAACAAUUCAGAAUACCCAAUAGGGCUACUGGACUGACCAUUCUAAAGGAACAAAGGAUAAUCAAAGAAAUAAAUGGAAAGUAAACAAUUGAACAUCCUAUUCGCAACCCUCUUGUGGAUCGAGAUCUGAAUCUUGGUCCUCUU